rnacentral:rRNA from 1 species
GCGAGGCUUCGAGCCGAGCGGCGAACGGCUGCGUAACACGUUGGUACCUGCCCCGAACUCAGGGAUAACUCCGCGAAAGCGGUGCUAAUACCGGAUAGUCCCGUAAGGGUAAAGAUUUAUCGGUUCGGGAGGGGCCUGCGGCCUAUCAGCUAGUUGGUAAGGUAACGGCUUACCAAGGCUAUGACGGGUAGCUGGUUUGAGAGAACGACCAGCCAGAAUGGGACUGAGACACGGCCCAUACUCC